AUUUGAAUUUGAAUGGUAACAAUUCCGUUAAAUCCUCGUCCUCGUUUUGAACGUCUCACUCAUGGCCGAUCAGUGUUCUUUCUGAUUAGCUCUUAAUUGAGAUCACCUGUCACGCACCCCUUUAUUAAAGGUGAACACAAUGGGUUUGAUUUACUUUUCGCAUCGGCCUGUGUCAAUCGAGGUUGAGUUUAGUGAGGGUUGAAAGUUUUCGAUCUAGAUUGCAGAUCACUAUUGUCACUUUAUGCAAACUGAAAGUAUGCGUUGUUGCGUGUUUGUUUUUGUGGGCAUUUGACUGAACAGCCCUGACAAAUAUUGCUACCAACAUGGCACUUUGAAACAGACCACCGCAGUGAGUAAAAGUUAUUUUCCUUUAUUAAUUGUUGACGUUUUUGGGCUGUCUCCUCAGACACAAGCCAUCAGUAUCCCUGCUCUUUGCACCUUGACAUGCAUGUCGCUGCUGUUUGUUAACCGAGCUUUGCUGAUUUGUAUCUUGUGAUGUGUGUGUUUUUCUUAACAGGUGUUAGAUGACUGACAAGAUCUAUGGGGGGGCCCCCUUUGGGCCCCCCCAUACCAACUUAGUCUUCAAAGGAAUCUAGUGCCAUGGGACUCCAGUGUCUUCAAAACAUCCUCGGAAUACAUGGUGUAUGAAUGGUCCACCGAAGGGUUGAUCUGGAAGCCACCACGGUCCACGCAGUAAUCUGCUGCGUGGGCCGUAGUGGCUUCCAGAGCCAUCUUUCGGUCUUGGUCCGAAAGACAGUUGCCCUUCAAUGUAGCAGGCUACGGGUUUCUGAAGAAGCCUGCUUUACGUAGCAUUGGAGUACAAAUAGUGUGCAAAAUGCUCAUGUAAUUGCACUAGCACUAGUAACCUGUAGAUUAGCUUAGUUUAACGUCAUUCCGUGCUGUCUGUCAAAUGUGUGGCUUACUUUAAGUCCACAAGGCCCUCUGGUAAACCACGUUGGAACACCCCUGGACAAGAGCCAAUUUGUUGGCUUACAGUAGUCGAGGAGUUGCCGUAUGGUCAAUGCCAUCUGGAGGUUGUGGCAAUGGAGGCUUGUGGUAGAUCUGCCAUCCAAGAAAGGUUAAUUCUUCUGAAGCAUGAUUAAUAGUUUAGUAAAUUGAAUCUAUUCAUAUAGAACUAUAAAAUCCAAGACUGCAGCCAGUAACUUGGAUCGCAAUAUGUGGAAAGUAUUAGUCUUCAUUUGUAACAACAGACUAACUGGGUUUCUUCCAUUUUCUAACUAGGGGACUUGACUGGUGAGUCUACUGGAUUAAUCAGUAGCGGUACUUUUAACUUUUUCGACUUUGAUGGAAUGACUACAGGGUGACAAAACAAUUAUUCCCUGCCUAUCAAAAGAGACUUCUAAAACAUAUCUGCUAGAACAGUUCCUAUGCUUUUUGUAUAAUUUGGUCAUGCUGCAAAUUUACUUUUUGUAGUUGCUCCAUAUUUAGUUCUUUGACAGCCUCACCUGCUAGAAAAGUCUAUUCGAAUCGGCUAAAUAUAAUUACCUAAAUUAAUAGCCAUGAAAUGUUGUCACUCAUACUAAUGGCAAAUACCCUCUUUCAGUUGGCGGUUCAACACUGAUGUCUCUCUAGGCUUGAGGGAGAGCUCACAAGUAAAUUACACCAAUGUCCUACAGCAAUUGGGAAUACACUUUCAUUUAGUCUACCUGACCAGGGACAUCUUUGAACUAUAGGUCACCUAACCCAAACUUUUCACUCUUGUUAGGUUGUCCUUUUCUCUUGUUUCAACCCGAAAGGGCUGAAAUAUCAACAUUUCAGGUAUUCUGUUUGGAUAAUGUGCAAAACUUGUGGCUACACUAAUAAAAAAAAUUAACAAAUGUAUUUUUCUUAAUGUGGUUAAACUAUUUAAAGAUUUGUAUGCAAAAUAUUUCUGCUCAAUUUGUGGUCAAUGAAACUCUGAAAUUUAAUUUUUAAAGAAAGUUUCCAUGGAAGCUCUUGGCUGCUGGUUCCCAACACAGCUCCACUGUUAGCCUGUGACCUUGCGUUUAACUUUUUUUGAUUUUUGGUGACUUUCACAAAAGAGAAAUUAACUGGUUAAUACAAUAAACAAG
ensembl:lncRNA